rnacentral:rRNA from 1 species
UACGAAGGGUGCAAGCGUUACUCGGAAUUACUGGGCGUAAAGCGUGCGUAGGUGGUUUGUUAAGUCUGCUGUGAAAGCCCCGGGCUCAACCUGGGAAUGGCAGUGGAUACUGGCAAGCUAGAGUGCGGUAGAGGGGUGUGGAAUUCCCGGUGUAGCGGUGAAAUGCGUAGAGAUCGGGAGGAACAUCAGUGGCGAAGGCGGCCAUCUGGGACAACACUGACGCUGAGGCGCGAAGGCGUGGGGAGCGAACGGG